AGGUCACAAGGUCAGGGCCAUCAUUAUCUGUGUAGGGAGGCUGUCCCAUAAGCGGAGACAUGAAUGCUGCCCCAGUCGAUUGCAGGAAACACCUAAUAGGCAAAAUAAAAGGCAUGGCUGAAUGAG